rnacentral:rRNA from 1 species
ACAGAGACUGCAAGCGUUAUUCGGAUUCACUGGGCGUAAAGGGUGCGCAGGCGGCCAAGUGUGUGAGGCGUGAAAGCCCGAUGCUCAACAUCGGAAUUGCACCUCAAACUACAUGGCUAGAGCAUUGGAGAGGGUAGCGGAAUUCACGGUGUAGCAGUGAAAUGCGUAGAUAUCGUGAGGAACACCAGUGGCGAAGGCGAGUCCCUGGACAACACCUGACACUGAGGCACGAAAGCCGGGGGAGCAAACAGGA